GGAAUUUUCCGCAAUGGGCGAAAGUCUGACGGAGCGACGCCGCGUGGAGGAAGAAGGCUUUCGGGUUGUAAACUCCUGUCAGAGCUUAGGAAACUGCUGACAAAGGGCUCAAAGGAAGCCACAGCUAACUUCGUGCCAGCAGCUGCGGAAAUACGAAGGUGGCGAGCGUUGUUCGGAUUCACUGGGCAUAAAGGGCGUGUAGGCUGCUUGGUAAGCGGUCUGUGAAAGCCCGGGGCUCAACCCCGGAAUUGCAGACCGAACUGCCGGGCUAGAGAGCGAGAGGGGACUGUGGAACUCUAGGUGGAGCGGUGAAAUGCGUAGAUAUCUAGAGGAACACCGGUGGCGAAAGCGACAGUCUGGCUCGUUUCUGACGCUGAGGCGCGAAAGCGUGGGUAGCAAACAGGAUUAGAUACCCCAGUAGUC
rnacentral:rRNA from 1 species